UACGGAGGGUGCAAGCGUUGCUCGGAAUUACUGGGCGUAAAGGGCAAGUAGGUGGUCUCGUGUGUCUGAGGUGAAAUCCCUGGGCUUAACCCAGGAACUGCCUUGGAAACGGCGAGACUAGAGUCUCAGAGAGGAUCGUGGAAUUCCCGGUGUAGCGGUGAAAUGCGUAGAGAUCGGGAGGAACACCAGAGGCGAAAGCGACGGUCUGGAUGAGUACUGACACUCAACUGCGAAAGCGUGGGUAGCAAACAGG
rnacentral:rRNA from 1 species